AAGGCCGGAAUAGCUCAGUCGGUAGAGCAG
rnacentral:tRNA from 1 species